GGGAACGUAGCUCAGCCUGGGAGAGCACUACGCUGAAGACGUAGGUGUCCCGAGUUCAAAUCUCGGCGUUCCCA
rnacentral:tRNA from 1 species